AGAGUUUGAUCCUGGCUCAGAUUGAACGCUGGCGGCGUGCCUAACACAUGCAAGUCGAGCGGUAACAGGUGUAGCAAUACAUGCUGACGAGCGGCGAACGGGUGAGUAAUGCUUUGGAAUCUUCCCAGUAGUGGGGAACAACCAGUCGAAAGAUUGGCUAAUACCGCAUACGUCUGUGAAGAGAAAGCGGGGGAUCGUAAGACCUCGCGCUAUUGGAUGAGCCAAAGUCGGAUUAGCUAGUUGGUGGGGUAAUGGCCUACCAAGGCGACAAUCCGUAGCUGGUCUGAGAGGACGACCAGCCACACCGGAACUGAGACACGGUCCGGACUCCUACGGGAGGCAGCAGUGGGGAAUAUUGGACAAUGGGGGAAACCCUGAUCCAGCGACGCCGCGUGUGUGAAGAAGGCCUGCGGGUUGUAAAGCACUUUUAGUGGGGACAAAAAGCUACGGAUUAAUACUCUGUGGUCUUGAUUUAACCCAAAGAAAAAGCACCGGCUAACUCUGUGCCAGCAGCCGCGGUAAUACAGAGGGUGCGAGCGUUAAUCGGAAUUACUGGGCGUAAAGCGCGCGUAGACGGUUUUGUAAGUCAGAUGUGAAAUCCCUGGGCUCAACCUGGGAACUGCAUUUGAGACUGCAUGGCUAGAGUAUCGAAGAGGGAAGUGGAAUUUCCGGUGUAGCGGUGAAAUGCGUAGAUAUCGGAAGGAACACCAGUGGCGAAAGCGACUUCCUGGUCGAAUACUGACGUUCAUGUGCGAAAGCGUGGGGAGCAAACAGGAUUAGAUACCCUGGUAGUCCACGCCAUAAACGAUGACAACUAGAUGUUGGGAGGGUCUGCCUCUCGGUGUCGCAGCUAACGCGUUAAGUUGUCCGCCUGGGGAGUACGGCCGCAAGGUUGAAACUCAAAGGAAUUGACGG
rnacentral:rRNA from 1 species